UACGGAGAGUGCAAGCAUUAAUCGGAAUUAUUGGGCGUAAAGGGCGCGUAGGCGGAUAUAUAAGUCAGAUGUGAAAUUCCGAAGCUCAACUUCGGAGCUGCAUUUGAAACUAUAAAUCUUGAGGGUUGACGGAGAAAACGGAAUUCCACGUGUAGCGGUGAAAUGCGUAGAUAUGUGGAAGAACACCUGUGGCGAAAGCGGUUUUCUAGUUUAUACCUGACGCUGAGGCGCGAGAGCAAGGGGAGCAAAC
rnacentral:rRNA from 1 species